rnacentral:lncRNA from 1 species
CCCAACACCCGGAGCCACUGUGGCUCCGGCCGGUUGCGCUGGCCCUCGGGCCCUCAGGGAGGCGAGGGUGCGAGGGCAGAGGAGUCCCUCCCUGUGUCCACCACCAUCACAAGCCCAGGGCAAGUACUGCUAGAGGGCUGCCUAUGAUCAGAUCUUCUGAGAACAUCAGAGAAAGACUGUCCUUGCAAUCUACACUACAGCAAGACUUCAGGACCUUGAACUUCAGGUUCAUAAUCUCACAACUGAGAAGGAUCCUUCCACACUCUUGGAACAGUGCACCCAUUGGAACUCUGAAGGUUAAGCUCACCAGGAAAGUUUCUCUCCAGAAGAAGAUAACACCCUUAAUGUGAACAGCUUUUCCCAAAAUCACGGAUUGAAACUUCUCUACACUCACGAGACUCUUAUCUUUGAAUAUUUUCCCUUGGUUAUGCUUCUGUGAACAAUAGACGUGAAAAGGGAGUCUGUUGUGUGCACUUAUGGGGCACACUUUUAUGUGUGAAGGAUUUUUCAGCCAGCCUUAUAUAUGGAUGACCUUAUAGUUUAAGAGAUAAAAGACAAAGACCCAAUGCAGUGUAUUUUUUAUUCUGUGUUCAAAGAUCACCAAUGAGAUUCCCAGUUGCCAAAUCCAAUCUUUAGUUUUCAUCUUAGUUCCUCUGAGCAACAUCUGAAAAAGUGUGAUAGGCAACCUUGAAAUGGCCCCAGAUAAUCCCUGCCUCCAGACUAACAAAAUGAUAUUUGUGUCCAGAACCAGUUAAAGAGCUGUGGCAGUUCUAAGAACUUCCACCAAGAUAAAGCAUAUUCUGAAAGCUGGUUGCCAGAGAAACCAAUCAGCGAUAAAAGAAUUGGGACUUUCAGCUUCACCUUCUCUACCUCUGGGGAGGAAAGAAAGGGCAGAUAUUGAGCUCAAUCUCCAGUGGCUACUGGUUUAAUCAAUAAUGCUUACAUACUGAAGCUUCCUUAAAAACCCUAAAUGAAGGAGUUCAGAAAACCCCAGGUUCACCACAAUGAUGAAGACAUUCAUGUGCCUAGAGAGUAGCCCACCCUAACUCAGUGGGGCAGAAACUCCUGUGGUCAGAACCCUUCU